rnacentral:piRNA from 1 species
UGGCAUUUUUGGUGGAUAAUCUUCAGUACU